rnacentral:tRNA from 1 species
ACUUAAGUAGUUUAUUUAAAAAAUUUUGAUUUGUGGUGUCAAAGAUAUAAGAAUUUCUUAUCUUGGGUC